rnacentral:rRNA from 1 species
UACGAAGGGGGCUAGCGUUGCUCGGAAUCACUGGGCGUAAAGCGCACGUAGGCGGCUUUUUAAGUCAGGGGUGAAAUCCCAAGGCUCAACCCUGGAACUGCCUUUGAUACUGGGGAUCUCGAGUCCGGAAGAGGUGAGUGGAACUGCGAGUGUAGAGGUGAAAUUCGUAGAUAUUCGCAAGAACACCAGUGGCGAAGGCGGCUCACUGGUCCGGUACUGACGCUGAGGUGCGAAAGCGUGGGGAGCAAACAGG